rnacentral:sRNA from 1 species
AGUUUAAGGUAGGAGUUGGGCUGAGGAGAGACAGAGCCAGCCAGUCAGAUUCAGGAAGUUGCGUUCCUGACCUCAGUAGCAGAGCUGGGUGCGGUGAAACCUCAGCCAGGGACGCAGGGGGCGCUUUCCUCCACAUCACACUGGUGGCACCCACUGACCGGCAGCGCCGCCUCUCUCCCGGGACCUGGCAGUGGGAGGGAGAGGCAGGAGCAGGGACCCAGACCUCACCCUUGUGCCCAAGUCACUUCAGAGCACCGGAACAGAGCCAGCGGUCCCGCCGGCGGGAAGCCUUCCAACGGACCCAAAGAGGUCUCUCACCUUCUCUCUGCUCCUGGCCUGACACAUGGGCUCCUCUGGAGUUUGGGGUGGAGUUCUCAGCUCCAGUUGACACCAGCUGCAGAGGUGUGAGGUUAAUCCUUAUUGCUGAAGACACCAUUCACUUCAGACACAGAAGCCAGAAGCUCCUGAGCUGGAUCUGGACUGAAAGAUUCCUCCCGGAGGAAGCCUCAAGCACAGCCACAAAGAAUGAUCGGCACCUAUUGUUUAGGAGACUCGAUGAAGGACAUUUCUGUGUCAGUGAUACUUGA